rnacentral:rRNA from 1 species
GCAUGUGCUGGGGUGGAAAGCUUUUGUGGUGCAGGAUGGGCCCGCGGCCUAUCAGCUUGUUGGUGGGGUAAUGGCCUACCAAGGCGACGACGGGUAGCCGACCUGAGAGGGUGACCGGCCACACUGGGACUGAGACACGGCCCAGACUCCUACGGGAGGCAGCAGUGGGGAAUAUUGCACAAUGGGCGGAAGCCUGAUGCAGCGACGCCGCGUGAGGGAUGAAGGCCUUCGGGUUGUAAACCUCUUUCAGCAGGGACGAAGCGUGAGUGACGGUACCUGCAGAAGAAGCACCGGCUAACUACGUGCCAGCAGCCGCGGUAAUACGUAGGGUGCGAGCGUUGUCCGGAAUUACUGGGCGUAAAGAGUUCGUAGGCGGUUUGUCGCGUCGUUUGUGAAAACCCGGGGCUCAACUUCGGGCUUGCAGGCGAUACGGGCAGACUUGAGUGUUUCAGGGGAGACUGGAAUUCCUGGUGUAGCGGUGAAAUGCGCAGAUAUCAGGAGGAACACCGGUGGCGAAGGCGGGUCUCUGGGAAACAACUGACGCUGAGGAACGAAAGCGUGGGUAGCAAACAGGAUUAGAUACCCUGGUAGUCCACGCCGUAAACGGUGGGCGCUAGGUGUGGGUUCCUUCCACGGGAUCUGUGCCGUAGCU